GUUCUUCACACUGAGGCUCAAACAUUCAACUAUAGGAACAAAAAGAAAACUUAUAUAUUUUUGGGUUGAGGGGAACUUUAAGAGUUUGCACUGGUUUGUAAUAAAUAGAGCAGGUCACCAGUGAUGCAUUAUUUUGUACUGCUCAGGAGUUUCUCACCUACUGGACCUCAAUCAAGUUGGAUCUUUCACAUUUUGGUAUCAAAAAUGUUCAUCAACUCUGGACAAAUACAAAACAUCGGCCUGAUAUCUGAAGACUGCUGCUAACUAGCGUUAGCUACCUGCAGGCCAAUUACAGCACUUGGACGGACACAACAACGGAUUAGUAGAAGAAGAGAUGAGAGAGACACACAUGAAGAGGUGGAGAUAAUGAAAGGUAUGACCAUGAAAAAUGCAGAAACCGUGUAUAAGAAAUAACCCUGUGGGAGAACAGUGGUUGGAAUGAAAAGAGCAGAA